AACGAACGCUGGCGGCAGGCUUAACACAUGCAAGUCGAACGAUCUCUUCGGAGAUAGUGGCAGACGGGUGAGUAACGCGUGGGAACCUACCUUAUUCUACGGAAUAACACAGAGAAAUUUGUGCUAAAUACCGUAUACGCCCUUUGGGGGAAAGAUUUAUCGGAGUAAGAUGGGCCCGCGUUGGAUUAGCUAGUUGGUGGGGUAAUGGCCUACCAAGGCGACGAUCUAUAGCUGGUCUGAGAGGAUGAUCAGCCACACUGGGACUGAGACACGGCCCAGACUCCUACGGGAGCAGCAGUGGGAAUAUGGACAAUGGGCGCAAGCCUGAUCCAGCCAUGCCGCGUGAGUGAUGAAGCCUAGGGUGUAAAGCUCUUUCAACGGUGAAGAUAAUGACGUAACCGUAGAAG
rnacentral:rRNA from 1 species